GGGUAUAGCUCAGUAGUAGAGCGCGUGCUUAGCAUGCAUGAGGUCCUUGGCUCAAUCCCCAGUACCGCCA
rnacentral:tRNA from 1 species